UGCCAGCUGGGAGGAGAAAGACAAACGAGUCAAACUGGUCGUCAAGGAGGAGGAAGAGAAACGCUGAACUUGGAGACGUGAUAACAUUGAGGUAGAGAUCUGCCUGCAGGGAGGAGAAAGACAAACGAGUCAAACUGGUCGUCAAGGAGGAGGAGGCAGAGAAAACGCUGAACUUGGAGUCGUGGUAACAUCGAGGUGGAGAUCUGCCAGCUGGGAGGAGAAAGACAAACGAGUCAAACUGGUCGUCAAGGACGAGGAAGAGAAACGCUGAACUUGGAGACGUGAUAAC